rnacentral:rRNA from 1 species
GAUGAACGCUAGCGGCGGGCCUAAUACAUGCAAGUUGAACGAGAUUGUUGGUAGCAAUACUGACAUGAAAGUGGCGCACGGGUGCGUAACACGUAUGUAACCUACCUUUAACUGGGGCAUAGCUUCGAGAAAUCGAAAUUAAUACCCCAUAACAUUUAGAAAAGGCAUCUUUUCUUUAUCAAAGUUCCGGCGGUUAAAGAUGGACAUGCGGUGCAUUAGCUUGUUGGUGAGGUAACGGCUCACCAAGGCUACGAUGCAUAGGGGGUCUGGAGAGGAUGAUCCCCCACACUGGUACUGAGACACGGACCAGACUCCUACGGGAGGCAGCAGUAGGGAAUAUUGGGCAAUGGACGAAAGUCUGACCCAGCCACGCCGCGUGAAGGAUGACUGCCCUAUGGGUUGUAAACUUCUUUUGUAUGGGAAGAAAAUUCCGAACGUGUUCGGAGCUGACGGUACCAUAAGAAUAAGCAUCGGCUAACUCCGUGCCAGCAGCCGCGGUAAUG